AUGAUGCCCUUGUUAAGUUGUAUCCUCUGCUUGGCCAACCAUGCUCUGCUUUCGGGCUUGUGUUAUUUACUCUGGAAACUUGUGGUAUAUGUUUCUAAGAAGCCCCUAUGGGUUGAACAUAUGCCUUCUCUAAACCGUGUGAACCCGAAAGUUUUCACGAGUCAUACUUAUCUGGUAUUGCACCAGGUAAAACUUUCAACAACUAAUGUCAUCUUCGAAAUACGAGAGGUGAAUGGAAGAUUAUGCAUUGAGGAAGUGGGAGUCGACCUUGAACUUUGUGUUCAUGCCCAUGGACGCGAUGUAUAUCCUAUCAUGGAAGCUUCUUGUAAUAAUAACUAUUUCCUUGAUAGCUAA
rnacentral:rRNA from 1 species